rnacentral:rRNA from 1 species
CUGAUUGAGCGAGGGUUUGAUCCUGGCUCAGGGUGAACGCUGGCGGCGCGCCUUACGCAUGCAAGUCGUGCGGGGUGUGGGCUUCGGCCCACGCCCAGCGGCAGACGGCUGAGUAACACGUGGGUAACCUGCCCGGAAGUGGGGGAUAACCCGGGGAAACCCGGGCUAAUACCGCAUGCGGUCCAGGGGGGCAGUUCCCCUGGACCAAAGCCCGCAAGGGCGCUUCCGGAGGGGCCCGCGGCCUAUCAGGUAGUUGGUGGGGUAACGGCCCACCAAGCCGACGAC